GUAAAUCCCCCCUUUCUAGUGUACUUACCAUUCAAAUUCUUUACUAGCCAAUAAGAGUACAUCUUUGGUCAACAAUCCUCUUAACAGUCCUUUUCUCCUUAAAUUCUGUGGCUGCCACACCCUGAAUUUUCAGUUUAGAUGCGUUGGAAGCAAAACAUUCAUAGGAAAAUGAUAUAGCUAGCAGUAGAUCACAGAAAAGGAACACACUUAGUUUUCUACCCUUCUGGCUUUAUGCCAAAUGCAUUUUGUUGGUGAUUAAAUUGUGGCUUAAAUAAGAAACUUGGUGUUUCAUGUUU